rnacentral:rRNA from 1 species
CCUACGGGAGGCAGCAGUAGGGAAUCUUCCACAAUGGACGAAAGUCUGAUGGAGCAACGCCGCGUGAGUGAAGAAGGGUUUCGGCUCGUAAAGCUCUGUUGGUAGUGAAGAAAGAUAGCGGUAGUAACUGGCCUUUAUUUGACGGUAACUACUUAGAAAGUCCCGGCUAACUACGUGCCAGCAGCCGCGGUAAUACGUAGGUGGCAAGCGUUGUCCGAAUUUAUUGGGCGUAAAGCGAGGGCAGGCGGUUGAAUAGGCUGAUGUGAAACCCUUCGGCUCAACCGGGGAAGUGCAUCAGAAACUGGUGAACUUGAGUGCGGGAGAGGAGAGUGGAACUCCAGGUGUAGCGGUGAAAUGCGUAGAUAUAUGGAAGAACACCAGUGGCGAAGGCGGCUCUCUGGUCUGCAACUGACGCUGAGGCUCGAAAGCGUGGGUAGCGAACAGGAUUAGAUACCCGAGUAGUC